CUUUUGGAAAUGAGUUUUCUUCCUUCUUCGACGCUGUAACUUCCUUGAAUCCCAACUGUCUGAAUUUGCAAAAGAAUCAAACAGCGUCGAGGCCUCGAAAGCCUUCUACUGGGUGCCAGGUAUGGAGUAAGGCCUGCUCGGAGGCGGUGCUGGGGCUGUCCCUGAGGCCGGAGACUGUGAGUUGGUUGAAGAGCGUGAGGAGG
rnacentral:misc_RNA from 1 species